rnacentral:pre_miRNA from 1 species
GGGUCACAUCAUUGAGGUGGGUUUUAUUUUUGGUUGUUUUGAUUUGGUGAGAUUGUUUUUCAUAACAACCAAACAACCAAAAAUAAAACCCACCUCAAUGAUGUGACCC